UACGAAGGGGGCUAGCGUUGUUCGGAAUUACUGGGCGUAAAGGGCUCGUAGGCGGCCAACUAAGUCGGAUGUGAAAUCCCCAGGCUUAACCUGGGAACUGCAUCCGAUACUGGAUGGCUUGAAUCCGGGAGAGGGAUGCGGAAUUCCAGGUGUAGCGGUGAAAUGCGUAGAUAUCUGGAGGAACACCGGUGGCGAAGGCGGCCAUCUGGACCGCAACUGACGCUGAGGCGCGAAAGCGUGGGGAGCAAACAGG
rnacentral:rRNA from 1 species